rnacentral:rRNA from 1 species
AUUGAACGCUGGCGGCAUGCCUUACACAUGCAAGUCGAACGGCAGCACGGGAGCAAUCCUGGUGGCGAGUGGCGAACGGGUGAGUAAUAUAUCGGAACGUGCCCGGUCGUGGGGAUAACGUAGCGAAAGCUACGCUAAUACCGCAUACGAUCUACGGAUGAAAGCGGGGGAUCGCAAGACCUCGCGCGAUUGGAGCGGCCGAUAUCAGAUUAGGUAGUUGGUGAGGUAAAGGCUCACCAAGCCGACGAUCUGUAGCUGGUCUGAGAGGACGACAGCCACACUGGGACUGAGACACGGCCCAGACUCCUACGGAGGCAGCAGUGGGGAAUUUUGGGACAAUGGGCGCGAAGCCCGAUCCAGCAAUGCCG